AUGAGACUAAAUAUUGCCAUCUUCUUUGGGGCUCUCUUUGGUGCUCUGGGGGUUUUACUCUUUCUGGUGGCUUUUGGAUCAGAUUACUGGCUUCUCGCGACUGAAGUAGCAAAGUGUUCAGGUGAACAAAAUGUAGAAAACGUCACUUUCCACCAUGAAGGAUUCUUCUGGAGAUGUUGGUUUAAUGGGGUUGUGGAAGAGAAUGAUUCCAAUAUCUGGCAGUUCUGGUACACCAAUCAGCCCCUGUGGAAGAACUGCACCCACGCUUACCUGUCACCAUACCCCUUCCUGAGAGGCGAGCACAACUCCACCUCCUACGACUCUGCAGUCAUUUACCGUGGCUUCUGGGCAGUCCUGAUGCUUCUGGGGGUGGUCGCCGUAGUGACUGCAAGCUUUCUGAUCAUCUGCGCAGCACCCUUCACCAGCCACCUUCUCUACAAAGCCGGGGGAGGCGCCUACAUCGCCGCAGACGGCCUUGAGAGGGCGGAACCACAUUCCGACUGGGCUUGCUGGUGUGUGCACGCAGGACUCUGGCAUCAGCACGCAGAGGACUCUGGCAUCAGCACGCAGAGGACUCUGGCAUCAGCACGCAGGACUCUGGCAUCAGCACGCAGAGGACUCUGGCAUCAGCACGCAGAGAACUCUGGCAUCAGCACGCAGGCCGCGUGGGCACAUCCCACGCACGGCCAUGGCGUGCUGACGUCACAGCUGUCAGUGUGAGCAGGGGCGGGGUCUGCGGUCUUCCUCGCGCUCUGUCCGCGGCUCGGGCAGAGUCUGAAGGGCCUGUGUCAUCCCUUCCCGCUCUGGGCCAGAUGCCUCCUCUGGCCGGGCCAUGUGUUCGCCAUGGAAGUUCAGUUCCGGACCAAGUGCGAGGUGGUCGUUAGGAUGCGACAGCCCCCGAGUCUGCUUAAGUGAGCCUCUGCCACACCACUCCAAGGCCUGAAGAGUUGCUGAGCCGCCUUCUCGUGUGAACUCCGUGGGGCAGCUAUGGAGGGCUGACUCACGGCUUCUCCGCACCCUGUGAUACCCGAUAUGAUGGGAAAGACGUCGGAAGGCGUGGCAUUAAAAACCAUUUGAACUAUGUGGAGAAAAUCAUUGUGUGGCUGAGUGUUCCUGCUGCUGCUGCUAAGUCACUUCAGUCGUGUCCGACUCUGUGCGACCCCAUAGACGGCAGCCCACCAGGCUCCCCCCAUCCCUGGGAACGCCGGCCAAAGCGACAUCAAUGUAGGAAUUGCUGUGCAUGAGUAAAAUCCCGGAGUGUACAGGAAAUAAUGAGGACAGGGUUUGGGAUGUUCUGGGACACUGACAUUGGGUGAAUUUUAUCACCUUAUCAGGGUAUAAAGAAGGCUGAGUGCCAAAGAAUUGAUUGUUUUUCAUUGUGCUGGAGAAGACUCUUGAGAGUCCAUGGACCGCAGAUCAAACCAGUCAAUCCUAAAGGAAGUCAGCCCUGAAUAUUCAUUAGAAGGACUGAUGCUGAAGCUGAAGCUCCAGUACCUUGGCCACCUGAUGCGAAGAGCCAGCCACCUAUUUAGAUAGGACCCCGAUGCUGGGAAAGAUUGAGGGCAGGAGAAGAGGGCAGCAGAGGAUGAAAUGGUUGGAUGGCAUCAUCGACUCAAUGGACAUGAGUUUGAGCAAACUCCUGGAGAUGGUGAAGGACAGGGAAGCAUGUUGUGUUGCAGUCCAGGGGGUCACAAAGAGUUGGACACAACUCAGUGACUGA
rnacentral:lncRNA from 1 species